UCACCCCAUCCAAACAGAGCGUUAGAAACUAAAAAUAAUGCCACUGUUGUGAAAAAAGUAGCUCAAGGUUGUGGUUUUUCCAAUUUCUUUUUUGUAGAUCCAAGACGUCUUGCUGGAGGAAUAUGUGUGUCAUGGAAAGACUAUUUUGAUGUUAAUAUUAUAUCAUAUGAUUCCUAUUAUAUUCAUGCUCGUCUUCAUGAUUUGAAAUUGAUGUUUUCUGGGAUAUUUUGUUUUUGCAUCUUCAUUCGGAUGACCACUUGAGACGGGGCCAAUUUAAUUUUCUGUGUAAUUAUAAACAGAAUCUACUAAGCUAUUGUUAACGGGUGACUUCAACACUUUUUAAACCCGAAUGAUAAAGAAAGGUGGAGACAGAAAUGUGCAGACAAAGACUCAAAGCUUCAGAGAUUUUGUUAAUGUCAUGGGAAUUCUUGACUUGGGUUUCCAAGGGCCGAAAUUUACUUGGAACAAGUGGAGGGAUAAUCAUCAUCUUACGCAAGAAAGGAUAGACGGGAUUAAGUUCUCCAUCGUGGCUGUAGCUUUAUCCCAAUUCGGUAAUUUCUCACCUUGAUGAUAUUAGUUCUCACCACUGCCCUUUAUUGCUAUCAUCAAAGAUUUCUUGUCCUAAGCCCAAAGCUAGAUUUAUUUUUGAUGGUCGAUGGAUUGGUCAACAAGAAGUUGGAACUAUCAUUGGAUGUUCUUGGCAAUAAUAAGCUGCUGGUUCAUGUAUGUUCUGGGUAUUCUCUAAGCUCAAACACUAUCGCAACAAUCUAGUGGAGUGGAGGAAAAGAUCCAAUCAGAAUUCUAACCCUCAAAUUGAGUCUCUUCACCAGCAAUUAGCAAUAGCUAAAAAUAAUCUAAAUAGGGAAGAGGAGAUGAUCAGAGCUAUGGAAGUAGAACCGAAACAAGAACUUAUUCGAGAGAGCAGUUCUAGGCACAGAAAUUGCGUCAGGAUUGGCUUCAAUUUGGAGAUAAGAAUACGGCUUUCUUUCAUGCCAAGGUCCUUCAACGCACAUGCAGGAACAGCAUUUUGAGAUUGAAAGAUAACCAAGGGUUUUGGAGGACCUCACUUCGAGAUAUAUCUCAUAUUGCUUUAUUGUAUUUUAAAGAGAAUUACACUUCCACUAACCCUGCUGGUUUUGAUCAGUUUGCAGCAGGUUUCAUUCCCCGGGUUUCCAAUGAUAUGAACAAUCAUCUUAUAGCCCCUGUCUCUAGAGAUGAAGUGAAAUUGUCUGUGUUCUCUAUUAAUCCAUCUAAGGCACUGGGAGAUGACAGGCUUACAAGUCUUUUUUUCCAUAAGUACUAGAAUGUGGUGGGUGAGGAUGUGGCAGAUGUAGUUCUUACUUUCUUUAAUGGAGGAAGAAUGCUUAAAAGUUUUAACCAUGCUGUAAUCUCCCUCAUUCCUAAAGUUAAAUAGGUAAGCUCUAUAAAGGACCUUAGACCAAUUGGCCUU
rnacentral:misc_RNA from 1 species